rnacentral:rRNA from 1 species
GAUCCUGGCUCAGGAUGAACGCUGGCGGCGUGCUUAACACAUGCAAGUCGAACGAAGACACUUAAAAUGAGAGCUUCGGCAGGAUUUUUAUUUAUCUUAGUGGCGGACGGGUGAGUAACGUGUGGGCAACCUGCCCUAUACUGGGGAAGUAAUCACUGGAAACGGUAGACUAAUACCGCAUGUCAUUACGGAAGGGCAUCCUUCUGUAAGAAAAGGAGUAAUUCGGUAUAGGAUGGGCCCGCAUCUGAUUAG